AUUCUGUGGAGGGAUCUUAAGGGACCAGGCCUAAUCACAUCGGGGACUCGAGGCCUCCCUUCCAGGCUUGGCAGGCAGAGUAUCUCAAGAUGAAGAGAAAGACAUUUUCCCUUGCAUGCUGGCCGCUGUUUCAUCUUCUACUACUCUUAGGAAACGCUGUAACUUCUAAUGCUAACACUACAGCCACCACCCUUGGACAAACCACAUCACCCAGGGGAACUAACACAACAGCUAUAACCUCCAGUGGGAACAUCACGACCACCUCCCUCGGACCAACCACACCGUCCAGGGAAACUAACACAACGGCUAUAACCUCCAGUGACACCAGCACAAGUACUGCCCCUCCAAGGAAAGAGGAGAACCUUAGCGGACAACUGACACCAUGGGAAGUUGUUCUGGUCACUCUGGCCUCGGUUGCAAUGGCUGUGAUUCUCGUCACCGGGCUUCUCUUCCAUUUCAGAAACUCUCCAGGCCUCAGAAACCUCUUCGAUGUUAAUCUCUUACCAACUGCAUGGCCAAGCCCCUACGGGACCAGGGCAACUGCAACUGACUUCAGAGGAGACCCUUCUCCCGUAGUCAUGGAGCUGACUGGGAGGCGGGAAUAGCACUGAGCUCCCUGAAGGCAGACACAUCACCAAUGUGUGGGGGUGGGGGGCUGACCUGGGGGAGCCUGAGUAUUCCUCCUGUCCGAAGGACUGUCCCUCCCAGCUCCAUUUCAGCCUCUGACUGUCCUCCUUCCCACUUGGUUUUUCCAGACCAAAACAAGGAGGCUGUAGCUGUGAACGAAUUAU
rnacentral:lncRNA from 1 species